UAGGGAAUCUUCCACAAUGGGCGAAAGCCUGAUGGAGCAACGCCGCGUGUGUGAUGAAGGGUUUCGGCUCGUAAAACACUGUUGUAAGAGAAGAAUGACAUUGAGAGUAACUGUUCAAUGUGUGACGGCAUCUUACCAGAAAGGAACGGCUAAAUACGUGCCCG
rnacentral:rRNA from 1 species